rnacentral:tmRNA from 2 species
GGGGAUGAUUGGAUUCGAUGGGAUUUCUUUUAAAAUCUGCGCAAGUAGUGGAUGGGCAAUCACCACUUAAAUCACUUUACCCAAAAUCAUAAUUGCCAACUACAAUAGCAAUUACGCUUUAGCUUACGCUUAAGCGCGUUCUCUCGGUGAUUUCUGCUAGCCGAGUCGGAACGUCGUUAGCGGGAUAAGGUUUAACGGCCUUUUCAAUAUUUCAGCCGCUAAGCACGAAAACCAGAAAACAGGUCUUCGAUUAUUUCGCCGGAUUUCUAACUGAAGACUAAACAAUCCGGCUAAACUUGUAGAGCAAUUUUAAAUCAAAUUUCACACCGGGGUUCGAUCCCCCGCAUCUCCACCA